AUGCUGCACUUUGGUCCUCUUCUCCUUCCACCAACGACAACCGUUACAGAACUACCCACCACCAAAGGACCUAAGCAGCGUGGUAAGGAGGAGCAGCGCUAUAAGGAGGAAUGGACAUGGGAGGACAUUCUGGACGGCAAGGGUUGCUACUCCUGGGGGGAGAUCCUGGCUGGAAGGGACCAUGGGAACAGGUGGAGGCAGCCAGGAGAGCGGAGGCCGCAGGUAAAGGGAGCCAGCGCUUUGAGGGAACACGGCUGGCAAGGAAGCCCGAGAGGCAGCCCCAAACAUUUCUUGGGGGGGCACACGGAGAGAUUGGCUAAGUCAGGUAGGAGACCUGAUCCAACUCCCCAUGCUUACCGUGGAGAGAGAGUGACCGGGCAGGCAACAUGUUAUGCAGUGAGGCGCACAGUGUCCCCAGUGCGCACGUAUAGCCCGGUGCGCAACAUCACAGCUCCUCGUAUCGGCCGGGCUAGAGUGAGCAUCGAGCCAGGAGUAAUGAAGCCGGCUCAGCGCAUCAGGUCUCCAGUGCGUCUCCUCGGCCCGGGUUAUAUGGCACCAGCCCUACACACGCUGUCGCCGGUUCGCCAGCACAGCCCAGUGCGGUCUGAUCCACCCCGCCGCACUUGCCGGGCUACAGGGAGUAUCCAGCCAGGACGGGUUGUGCAGGCUCGGUACUCGAGAACUCCAGUGCUCCUCCACGGCCCUGUGUAUCCGGUGCCUCCUCCACGCACCAGGCUUCCUGUGGCAGCCCCACGCACCAGGCUGUCUCUCCGUCUCCUCCUUCCAGGUUCUCGCUCCUGUCCGGUGCCUCCAGAGUCUCCCUCCUGUCCGGCGCCUCCAGAGUCUCCCUCCUGUCCGUUGCUCCAGAGUCUCCCUCGUGUCCGUUGCUCCAGAGUCUCCCUCCUGUGCGGCGCCGCCAGAGCCGGCCGUCAGUCAGGAGCCGCCAGAGCCGCCCGUCAGUCAGGAGCCGCCAGAGCCACCCGUCAGUCAGGAGCCGCCAGAGCCGCCCGUCAGUCAGGAGCCGCCAGAGCCGCCCGUCAGUCAGGAGCCGCCAGAGCCACCCAUCAGUCAGGAGCCGCCAGAGCUGCCCGUCAGUCAGGACCCGCCAGAGCCGCCCGUCAGUCAGGAGCCGCCAGAGCCGCCCAUCAGUCAGGUGCCGCCGGAGCCGCCCUUUACUCCGUCGCCGCCGGAGUCACCCUUCAAGCCGACGCUGCCAGAGUCUCCCGCCUGUCCGGCGCUGCCGGAAUCUCCCGUCUAUUCGGGGCCCACUGCAAGGGUCCCCAGUCCGAGGUCGGUGGCGAGGGUCGCCGCUCCAAAGGCACCACUUAA
rnacentral:lncRNA from 1 species